rnacentral:rRNA from 1 species
UACGUAGGGGGCAAGCGUUGUCCGGAUUUAUUGGGCGUAAAGAGCGCGUAGGCGGCUAGAUAGGUCCGUUGUGAAAACUCGAGGCUCAACCUCGAGACGCCGGUGGAAACCAUCUAGCUAGAGUCCGGAAGAGGAGAAUGGAAUUCCUGGUGUAGCGGUGAAAUGCGCAGAUAUCAGGAAGAACACCCGUGGCUAAGGCGGUUCUCUAGUACGGUACUGACGCUGAGACGCGAAAGCGUGGGGAGCGAACAGG